GACGAACGCUGGCGGCGUGCUUAACACAUGCAAGUCGAGCGAGGCCCUUCCUUCGGGAAGGUGCCCUAGCGGCGAACGGGUGAGUAACACGUGGGCAACCUGCCUCUAGCACUGGGAUAACUCCGGGAAACCGGGGCUAAUACCGGAUAUGACCUCCGAAGGCAUCUUCGUUGGUGUAAAGGAUUCUGGCUAGAGAUGGGCCCGCGGCCUAUCAGCUUGUUGGUGGGGUAACGGCCUACCAAGGCGACGACGGGUAGCCGGCCUGAGAGGGCGACCGGCCACACUGGGACUGAGACACGGCCCAGACUCCUACGGGAGGCAGCAGUGGGGAAUAUUGCACAAUGGGCGAAAGCCUGAUGCAGCGACGCCGCGUGAGGGAUGAAGGCCUUCGGGUUGUAAACCUCUUUCAGCAGGGACGAAGCGCAAGUGACGGUACCUGCAGAAGAAGCACCGGCCAACUACGUG
rnacentral:rRNA from 1 species